rnacentral:antisense_RNA from 1 species
GUUGAACGGACUCACCAGGAAACGUGACUUUCGUGUCCGACCUCUGCUGUAUCAGGAUUCGAUUCUCGGUGUUAAACAAGACAACGCUGAAGGCUCGGUGCAGCAGCCCUGCAAAGCUUUGUGUCUUAGGUUUCAGCGUGCUGACGUUCUCUGGGCCCUGAAGUCACUGCUGCUGGCUGGUGUGCUGGCCACUUGGUCGUGCUGGCCCGUCUCCCACCGGGUGGACGCCCAGCGAGCUCUGGAUGCUGCGUUUUUCCAGCGCUCUUGGGAGGUGGGCUGUGCCACUCCCUGUCCCACCUGUCCCACCUGGCCCACCAUUACCUGAAGGGAAGCAUGAACAGCCUUUGACGUGGGAGUGGCAACUGCUGAGAGGGAACCGUCUGUACACAAGCAAUGUAGCCUUAUGGGACCCGAGUGGAGCCCCAACCCACGCAGGGCGUGUCUUCAUGGCUUUUCCUGGCCAAUCUGAUACCAAGAUGCAGUGGCAGAAGUACCUGCACUUCCACUCCUGUCAAGUCUCUGCAUGGCUAUGGUGAGGAAGAGCUCUGCACUGGGCAAGGAAGUUGGCUGUCGAGUGAAGGAAAUGGUGAUGCUGGUGGCCCCUUUCCUGCAGUCAAGUUCCCUAUCAAGGACAUUCAGUUCUCGGAAAGUGGUGAAGGCACACGCUUCCC